rnacentral:misc_RNA from 1 species
UCCGGCUUAACGCCGGCAGUCUCGCCUGACCGUAUAGGCAACAGGCAACGGGGGUUGCGUUCGUUACCCCACUGAAGGGAACAGUUCAAACCACGAACUGACGACGACCAUGCAUCACCUGUGCAACACCCUCGAAGGCUUCCCGGCUUUCACCAGGAAUGCAGUUGCAUUUCUAACCUUGGUAAGGUUCUUCGUUUGCUUACGAAUUGAGCCACAUAAUCCACUGCUUGUGCGAGUCCCCGUCUAUUCCUUUGAGUUUUAAUCUUGCGAUCGUACUACCCAGGCGGCUCGCUUACCGCGUUAGCUUAGUCUCACAGAGGGUCGAUACUCCGUAAAACGAGCGAGCAACGUUGAGGGCCAGGACUAC